UUCUUUCGUUGCCUCCCUCCUUUGCCUUUUAAUAAUGUUCCAUUCGGGGCUUUUCAAAAGACAACGGCGAGGUGGGAAAGGAACGGCACGGCCCCGUGAAAAGGACCAAAUUGGGUCCAUAUGCCGUUCCCGGAGGGGAAGCGGCUGGUGUCACUCUUAGUUACGGCAGGACGAGGGAUGGAUGCGGAGAGGUUUCCAUGGCAACAGGAGGGAUGGCGAUGCACUCCGACGUAGGGAUGGCGGCGAAAGGGAAAUCAGGUCAGGAGAGAACUUCGUAGGCGACAGAGCCAGGAGUCGCCUCCAAGGAGGCUGCGAAGGGCAAAACCUUCACCUCUCCGCUGGAUCACUAUAGUAACCACCUGCAUCCCCAGACUGCAUUCAGGUUAGAAAUGCAAGCGGGAACUUGGGAAACAAGAGAAGUGUAUCUUGCAGGGAUCUGAAUCAAAGACGUGAAUGAGAAAGAAAAGGUGAAGCGUUCCACCUGACUGUUCGUUAUGCCAUUCUUUCUCCAUCCUUAAGAGUCCGUAUUGCGACUUGCUCAUAAACCAUGUAGCAUGUCCAUAAACAAUCUGGAAAGAGUAGCGUGAAGCAGCCAAGUUCAUCAACGACACUAAAUUGCUCAAGGUGGUGAGAACAAAAUGGAUUGUGAAGUUUGGAAGCUCUUGUUGGGAAAAUAGCUAAUAAAAGCUUAAGUGGUCCCAUUGAAUUAAUGAGGUUCACCAAUGUGUUGACUUACGGGUCAACAAUUGAUCCAAUAAGUCAACACUAGCUAGGUCUAACAUAUAGGAUUCAGGCCUCAGGGAUGUAUCUAUGCUGUGUCGUUGACUUUGACUUAUGGUGAUCCUACAGUUGAGAGACCUUCAAGAGUUCCUAUAUUUACCACCAUGCUUAGGACUACAAUCCAAGAUGUCCUCCUACCUUCUGUUUGUUCCAGAAUCAUUUUCUUCUCCAAUGAAUCAUGUCUGUCCAAGCUAUGAUAGCUUCAUUCAACUAUUUGGUUAUCUAGUGAGAGGUCAGUCUUGAGUUAGGAAUGCAUUUAUUUUGAUCUCAAUGCCAAUGUCACGUCCAUAAAAUCCCAACUUCACAUAUUCACUCAACUGAACGGGACCUUGAGGUCCAUAGCUUAAUCAAAAUGUCAACCCAAUGUUUGGCUGUUGUAGAAAAGGCACAUUUGAUGUUGGGCAUCACUGGUUGAGGAAUCAAAGCUAAACUUGAUCUUCUUCUUCUCCAAAUCCAUGGAGCAACCAAUCUGUGGUUUUGGGUCCAAAAACAUUUAAAAUACAUAUGUCAGAGUUGGGAAAAACAUCUCAAAAGAGGAACUUGGUGACCUCCAAGUCAAUCUAUUCCAAUGUCAAACCGUUCUUACAGAAAUGCUCUUCCUAAUGUUUAGCUGGAAUCUCUUUCCAUUGAGUCCCAGUUUAGUUUUUGUAAUUGCAGAAAGCACGUUUAUUCCAUCUUCCACAUGACAUCCUUUCAGCAAUUUAAAAAAAGCUGUCAUCUCACCUCUCGGUCUCCAAGAUAAACAUACCCAGCUCCUUAAGCCAUUUCUGAUAUGGUUUCCAGACCUUUGGCCACCUCUGGACGCCUUCUGCUGUGUCAAUAUCCCUCUUGAACUGCGGUGCCUCACGUUUUAUUGGACAAAUGGACUAGAAAAAUAUGAAGCGCUCAUGGUAAAUAGCAAGUGGAUUUGCUGUGCGGACACCAUAAGGUCAUCUCAUUAAUGCCUCAUGGUUAUACUCAUCAAGGUUCACAUCUUUUUCAGCAUGCAGAAAUUAUAGCUUCGGCUUUAUUAGGAUGUGAAAAAUAUUUGCUGUUCAUGAGAGACGGUUGCAAGACAUUCCCGAGGAGACACCUCGAUAUCUCUUGUGGAGAUAUUAACGUCAACCUCGAUGAGAGUGCUCACCUCCAGGGCAAGACAAAGAUGAGGCACGGGAUGCUUUUUUGACAACCCGUUAAAAACAAAAACACCUCUCCAUGUAUUUGCACAACACUACUGUCUUUUUCCAUUGUCAAACAAACACACGCAGAGAGGGAUUGAGAGCUAACCCAGUAAGUUCUACAGCAGAUGAGAAAGGCUCUGGGUGCAUCUAUACUGGAGAAUUGAUACUAUUUGACACCACUCAAAGUAGUAUAACUCAAUGCUAUGCCAUCCUAAGAGAUAUAGUUAGAGAACGCACUUGCUUUCUUGGGCAGAGAAGGCUUUGUAGAACUAUAUCUCCUAUGGUUACAGAACAUUGAGCCAUGGCAGUUCAAGUCGUAUCCGAUUGUCCUUAUAUAUUUCAGGAGCCCUAUUCAAAAUUCUAUUCAUUUUACUCUUUGAAUGUCCAUUUAUUAUUAUUGUUUAAGUUUUAAUUGUUUGUUGAUGUUGUUUUAUGUUUUAUGUAUGAGGGUUAUCCAGAAAGUAGAUUAUGUUUUGGAAUUAAAAAUGAACAAAGUAUAGGAGAAAACAUUUAGGAUAUGCAGUUGAAAGCCACACCCAAAUACCACUUCUCAACAUAGUCACCAUUCAAAUCUAGGCACUUAUCAUAGCGAUGAAUGAGCUUGGCAACUCCUUCCCCACAAAACUCUGCUGCUUGCGUCCUCAACACAGCGUUUUGAUGACGAUGCGCAGCUGCGGUUAGGGGUGACCGGCUGGUUGAGGACGCAAGUGGCAGAGUUUUGUGGGGAAGGAGUUGCCAAGCUCAUUCAUCGCUAUGAUAAGUGCCUAGAUUUGAAUGGCAACUAUGUUGAGAAGUGUUAUUUGGGUGUGGCUUUAACUGCAUAUGGUAAAUGUUUUCUCUUAUACUUCUUGCGAAUGCAAGCGGCAGAGUUUUGUGGGGAAGGAGUUGCCAAGCUCAUUCAUCGCUAUGAUAAGUGCCUAGAUUUGAAUGGUGACUAUGUUGAGAAGUGAUAUUUGGGUGUGGCUUUCAACUGCAUAUGGUAAAUGUUUUCUCCUAUACUUUGUCCAUUUUUUAAUUCCAAAACGUAAUCUAUUUUCUGGAUAACCCUCAUAGUUAUAAUGUUUUUAAAUUGUAUUGAUCUGGAUUUUUACUAUUGUUGUCUGGGCUUGUCCCCAUGUGAGCCGCCCUGAGUCCCUUCUGGGAGAUGGAGACGGGAUAUAAAAAUAAAGUUGUUGUUAUUGUUGUU